GACGAACCGUGCGAACGUUAUUCGGAAUCACUGGGCUUAAAGGGCGCGUAGGCGGCUCUGCGAGUCGGGGGUGAAAUCCCACAGCUUAACUGUGGAAGUGCCUUCGAUACUGCGGAGCUCGAGUGAGGUAGGGGCAGAGGGAACUUCCGGUGGAGCGGUGAAAUGCGUUGAUAUCGGAAGGAACGCCGGUGGCGAAAGCGCUCUGCUGGACCUCUUCUGACGCUGAGGCGCGAAAGCUAGGGGAGCAAACGGG
rnacentral:rRNA from 1 species